rnacentral:rRNA from 1 species
GACGAACGCUGGCGGCGUGCUUAACACAUGCAAGUCGAACGGAAAGGCCCUGCUUUUGUGGGGUGCUCGUUUGGCGAACGGGUGAGUAACACGUGAGUAACCUGUCCUUGACUUUGGGAUAACUUCAGGAAACUGGGGCUAAUACCGGAUAGGAGCUCCUGCUGCAUGGUGGGGGUUGGAAAGUUUCGGCGGUUGGGGAUGGACUCGCGGCUUAUCAGCUUGUUGGUGGGGUAGUGGCGUACCAAGGCUUUGACGGGUAGGCGGCCUGAGAGGGUGACCGGCCACAUUGGGACUGAGAUACGGAGCAGACUCCUACGGGAGGCAGCAGUGGGGAAUAUUGCGCAAUGGGCGGAAGCCUGAUGCAGCAACGCCGCGUGCGGAAUGACGGCCUUCGGGUUGUAAACCGCUUUCGCCUGAGACGAAGCGUGAGUGACGGUAAUGGGUAAAGAAGCACCGGCUAACUACGUG